rnacentral:rRNA from 1 species
AUUGAACGCUGGCGGCAUGCCUUACACAUGCAAGUCGAACGGCAGCACGGGAGCAAUCCUGGUGGCGAGUGGCGAACGGGUGAGUAAUGUAUCGGAACGUGCCCAGUCGUGGGGGAUAACGCAGCGAAAGCUGUGCUAAUACCGCAUACGAUCUAAGGAUGAAAGCGGGGGAUCGCAAGACCUCGCGCGAUUGGAGUGGCCGAUAUCAGAUUAGCUAGUUGGUGGGGUAAAGGCUCACCAAGGCGACGAACUGUAGCUGGUCUGAGAGGACGACCAGCCACACUGGAACUGAGACACGGUCCAGACUCCUACAGGAGGCAGCAGUGGGGAAUUUUGGACAAUGGGCGCAAGCCUGAUCCAGCAAUGCCGCGUGCAGGAUGAAGGCCUUCGGGUUGUAAACUGCUUUUGUACGGAGCGAAAAGGUUCUCUCUAAUACAGGGGGCUCAUGACGGUACCGUAAGAAUAAGCACCGGCUAACUACGUGCCAGCCGCCGUGUAA